rnacentral:lncRNA from 1 species
CUGAGAACUAUAAACUUGGUCUUUUGAUGGUGAGAAUUGGGACAGAGCUAUGACAAUGCUCAGCAUGUGUGCAAACAGCAUUUGUGCUACAUUUGUGCUGGAGUUCCUCUUUAUAUGAACUCCUGCUGUUUCCAACACUGACUGCACCUUUUAUCCAGGUUCAUUUUUCCCAUUGCCUGGAAAGCCAAACACUGAGACAGCAAGAUUGCAGCAGAGAGGGAGAGUUUAAUUACACAGCAUCCAAGUGAGGAAUCAAGAGAACAAGUCUCAAAUCCACUUCCCAGAAACAGGUAUUCAGGGAUAUUUAUAGGGUGGGGGCAAGGCGGUCUGUAGUUUUUAGCCUCUUGAUGUCAAAAAGUUGCUUAUUGGACAUCUGUUCAUGAGUUGGAGGUCUCAACUGACCUGAAGUGGACAAGGAGUUCUAAUUCCUGAAGAACAGCUCACACACCCAUUAGCAUGGUGACACAGGCUCCAGGGAGAUGUUAUCUAUAGGAACUUGGUGGGAGUCAGAUAGCAUAUUGCCUAAACAGCACAGUUAACACUGGGUGGGGAGACAACUAAAAGCUAUAAUCAGUAAUUUCAAAAAGGAAAAAAAACCUUUAGUCCCUAGCUACUUAAUCAUCAAUGUCUAACUGUUUGCCAGUUUCAAUACCCCCUUUUGUUGUUUACCCCUCAAUCUUGAGGGAUAUCCUGCUGAUGAGGGGCAGAGGUUGUUUAUCUCAUUGAACCAGUCAUUAGGAAGAUGGUGAUUCAGGUGGGCUCCUGAAGUUAGGCCUAUAUUAUAUAAGCAAGUAACCAGGUAUUUAAUAAGAAGUAUUUCUAGAGAGACAAAAAGAAAAAGAAGGUUAAUGGUGGGAGCAAAUUAUAAACCUUUCUGAGACCAGGCAGCGGCCAGUCAAAAAUAUUUCUAAGUGGCAGAGUUGAAGCAUCUUCUGCAGGUUGAAAUGCCUCUGAUGAUGUCAUCAGGUUUUCACGUAUCUUACACAGCAGCAGACAUGAAUCUCUCUUAAGUUAAUAUCAAGUUGUCUAGCUUCAGUUUGCAAGACGUCAGGAAAAAGGUCCGGUUCAGUUCUCAAUGAUUCCAAGUGAAAAU